rnacentral:lncRNA from 1 species
AAUAAAACCAAAACUUCUGAAUCAAGUAGCGGGAUUCACCUUCUAGAAAGAAACUCCACGUUAAUGCUUCCUUCUCCUUCUCCUCCUUCUUCUUCUUCCAUCAUCACUCUAUUAAUUACUAAAACUGCCAUCAUCAUCCAUCCAUGUGCUCUCAACCACUUGCUCCUAUAUAUACGGCUUCUUCCACAACAAGACAAAAAAAAAUUAAAACUCCAUUAAAGCUUAUACACACCAAAACCUCUCUCUCUCUCUUUCUCUUAAACGCUCUUUUCAUUUGUCAACUGUAAAAUGGAGAGAGACGAUGAUUCUUAUAACGCUUACACGGCGUCGUUUUCGCCUAGCUUCAGUACUUAUUCAGGUGAUCGUCUUUCAGAGAUCGCCGAACGAGUUUGUUACAGAGAGAAAUCAGACGAAGAAUUCGAGUUUUCCACAACCGCCGCACCGCCGCCUACGUCAUCUUCUUCCGGCGAACUACUAUUCCCUGUUUUUAACAAAAAUCUUAUUUCAGGCGAAACAUCACCGGAGAAAACGGUUAUAAUUCCGUUAAAAGAUCUGUUUCUCCGCGAAAAAGAAGUAAAUCAACCACCACAACAACAGACGUAUUCAUCUUCUUCCGACGACGACGACGAAGAAGACGAGUUCGAAGAGCUCCCAAGCGAGAUCUACUGUCCAUGGACACCAGC